rnacentral:rRNA from 1 species
CCUACGGGUGGCAGCAGUGAGGAAUAUUGGUCAAUGGACGAGAGUCUGAACCAGCCAAGUAGCGUGAAGGAUGACUGCCCUAUGGGUUGUAAACUUCUUUUAUAAAGGAAUAAAACGAGGCACGUGUGCCUUUUUGCAUGGACUUUAUGAAUAAGGAUGGGCUCACACCGUGCCAGCAGCCGCGGUAAGACGGAGGAUCCGUGCGUUAUCCGGAUUUAUUGGGUUUAAAGGGAUCGUAGAUGGGUUGUAAAGUCCGUUGGGAUAUUUUUCGGCUCAACCGUAAAAUUGCAUUUGAUGCUGGCAGUCUUGCGUACAGUUGAGGUAGGCGGAAUUCUUGGUGUAGCGGUGAACUGCUUAGAUAUCACGAAGAACCCCGAUUGCGAAGGCAGCUUACUAAACUGUGACUGACAUUGAUGCUCGAAAGUGUGGGUAUCAAACAGGAUUAGAUACCCUGGUAGUC